rnacentral:rRNA from 1 species
AACGAACGCUGGCGGCAUGCCUAACACAUGCAAGUCGAACGACACCUCCGGGACUAGUGGCGCACGGGUGCGUAAAGCGUGGGAACGUGCCCUUAGGUAUGGAAUACCUCCCCGUCAGGGGUGCUAAUACCGGAUAAUGUCUUCUGACACAAGAUUGAUCGUCUUUGGGUGGGCCCGCGUUGGUCUAGCUUGUUGGGAGGGUAAAAGCCUACCAAGGAGUCGAUCCAUAGCUGGUAUGAGAGGAUGAUCAGCCACACUGGGAGUGAGACACGGCCCAAACUCCGACGGAAGGCAGCAGUGGUGAAUAUGGGACACUGCGCGAAAGCCUGAGCCAUCAGUGCCGCGUGGGUGAUGAAUGCCUUAGGAAUGGAAAGCUCUUUUACCCGGGAUGUUAAGGCGAGUACCGGAGAAUAAGCUCCGGCUAACUCCGUG